GAAAUGCGAUACGCAAUGCGAAUUGCAGAAUCCGCGAGUCAUCAGAUCUUUGAACGCAAUUGGCGCCGAUCGUAUCGGCAUGUUUGUUUCAGUGUGGAAGGAAUCACAAAUCAUAAUGCGAUUGAAAAAUUUAUUUUUCUCUCGUUAAACACGUCCGGUGUCUGUGAGAAUAUCAUGGGAACACCCACGAACGAAGUAGUCUCAUUUAUGAGAUCUCGUUUGUAAAGGGUAAAAUAAAAAUCUCUGUAUUCACUAAAAGCAGGCUCCAAACAAAAACUAAAAAAAAGUAAAAUUUUUUUUCUCUCUUACACCUGAAAUCAAGCAAGACGACCCGCUGAACUUAA
rnacentral:misc_RNA from 1 species